ACUGAGUGGCGGACGGGUGAGUAACACGUAGGGAACCUGCCCUUGAGUGGGGGAUAGCCCGGGGAAACCCGGAUUAAUACCGCAUAAGCUCCCGAACUGGAAUGUUCGCGAGAAAAGGAGCAAUCCGCUCACGGAUGGUCCUGCGGCCUAUCAGCUUGUUGGUGAGGUAAUGGCUCACCAAGGCUUAGACGGGUAGCCGGCCUGAGAGGGUGAACGGCCACACUGGAACUGAGACACGGUCCAG
rnacentral:rRNA from 1 species